rnacentral:rRNA from 1 species
AGUGAACGCUGGCGGUAGGCCUAACACAUGCAAGUCGAACGGCAGCACAGUAAGAGCUUGCUCUUACGGGUGGCGAGUGGCGGACGGGUGAGGAAUACAUCGGAAUCUACUUUUUCGUGGGGGAUAACGUAGGGAAACUUACGCUAAUACCGCAUACGACCUACGGGUGAAAGCAGGGGAUCUUCGGACCUUGCGCGAUUGAAUGAGCCGAUGUCGGAUUAGCUAGUUGGCGGGGUAAAGGCCCACCAAGGCGACGAUCCGUAGCUGGUCUGAGAGGAUGAUCAGCCACACUGGAACUGAGACACGGUACAGACUCCUACGGGAGGCAGCAGUGGGGAAUAUUGGACAAUGGGCGCAAGCCUGAUCCAGCCAUACCGCGUGGGUGAAGAAGGCCUUCGGGUUGUAAAGCCCUUUUGUUGGGAAAGAAAAGCAGCAGGUUAAUACCCCGCUGUUCUGACGGUACCCAAAGAAUAAGCACCGGCUAACUUCGU